GUCCUUCAAAGGCUUGCGGCGAAGUGACCUCAUGGACAAGAUGGCGGUCAAUGUAGAGCAGACAGGUGCCGUCGGGCUGCUCAUCAACCAGAUGGUCGUUCCAGAUCUUGUCGUAGAGGGUCGUCGCUUUGGCCAUUUUGGGUUGUCCGAAUUGGUGUUUGUGGCCCUCGGGACCACUGGUAAUCGCUUCCGCCCUUUUUACUCGCUUAACAGGACAUGGGAAAGUAUCCUGGUGUCCUGAAUUGGAAGUUCGCCUCAUUCUACAGUUCGUUCAUAGCGAACUUCGAAUUCAAAAGGACACCAGAAACUAUAAUUCUGGUGUGGUUUUGGUUCGCAAGUCCGCAAA
rnacentral:misc_RNA from 1 species